GACGAACGCUGGCGGCGUGCCUAAUACAUGCAAGUUGAGCGCUGAAGGCUGGUACUUGUACCAACUGGAUGAGCAGCGAACGGGUGAGUAACGCGUGGGGAAUCUGCCUUUGAGCGGGGGACAACAUUUGGAAACGAAUGCUAAUACCGCAUAAAAACUUUAAACACAAGUUUUAAGUUUGAAAGAUGCAAUUGCAUCACUCAAAGAUGAUCCCGCGUUGUAUUAGCUAGGUGGUGAGGUAAAGGCUCACCAAGGCGAUGAUACAUAGCCGACCUGAGAGGGUGAUCGGCCACAUUGGGACUGAGACACGGCCCAAACUCCUACGGGAGGCAGCAGUAGGGAAUCUUCGGCAAUGGACGAAAGUCUGACCGAGCAACGCCGCGUGAGUGAAGAAGGUUUUCGGAUCGUAAAACUCUGUUGGUAGAGAAGAACGUUGGUGAGAGUGGAAAGCUCAUCAAGUGACGGUAACUACCCAGAAAGGGACGGCUAACUACGUG
rnacentral:rRNA from 1 species